rnacentral:rRNA from 1 species
AGGGAAUCUUCCACAAUGGACGAAACUCUGAUGCAGCAACGCCGCGUGAGUGAUGAAGGUCUUCGGAUUGUAAAGCUCUGUCUUCUGGGACGAUAAUGACGGUACCAGAGGAGGAAGCCACGGCUAACUACGUGCCAGCAGCCGCGGUAAUACGUAGGUAGCAAGCGUUGUCCGGAUUUACUGGGCGUAAAGGAUGUGUAGGCGGAUAUUUAAGUGAGAUGUGAAAUCCCCGGGCUUAACUUGGGGGCUGCAUUUCAAACUGGAUGUCUAGAGUGCAGGAGAGGAAAGCAGAAUUCCUAGUGUAGCGGUGAAAUGCGUAGAGAUUAGGAAGAAUACCAGUGGCGAAGGCGGCUUUCUGGACUGUAACUGACGCUGAGGCAUGAAAGCGUGGGGAGCAAAC